GGGGGAAUAUUGCACAAUGGGGGAAACCCUGAUGCAGCAACGCCGCGUGAAGGAAGACGGUUUUCGGAUUGUAAACUUCUUUUCUUAGUGAAGAAGCAAGUGACGGUAGCUAAGGAAUAAGCAUCGGCUAACUACGUGCCAGCAGCCUCGGUAAUACGUAGGAUGCGAGCGUUAUCCGGAAUUACUGGGUGUAAAGGGAGCGCAGGCGGGACUGCAAGUUGGAUGUGAAAUACCGCAGCUUAACUGCGGAGCUGCAUCCAAAACUGUAGUUCUUGAGUGGAGUAGAGGCAAGCGGAAUUCCGAGUGUAGCGGUGAAAUGCGUAGAUAUUCGGAGGAACACCAGUGGCGAAGGCGGCUUGCUGGGCUCUAACUGACGCUGAGGCUCGAAAGUGUGGGGAGCAAACAGGAUUAGAUACC
rnacentral:rRNA from 1 species